UACGGAGGGGGGCUAGCGUUGUUCGGAAUUACUGGGCGUAAAGCGCGUGUAGGCGGCCCGGUAAGUCCGCUGUGAAAGUCGGGGGGCUCAACCCUCGGAUGCCGGUGGAUACUGUCGGGCUAGAGUACGGAAGAGGCGAGUGGAAUUCCUGGUGUAGCGGUGAAAUGCGCAGAUAUCAGGAGGAACACCAAUUGCGAAGGCAGCUCGCUGGGACGUCACUGACGCUGAGACGCGAAAGCGUGGGAGCAAACAGG
rnacentral:rRNA from 1 species